AUUGAACGCUGGCGGCAGGCUUAACACAUGCAAGUCGAGCGAGCGGCGGACGGGUGAGUAAUGUCUGGGAAACUGCCCGAUGGCGGGGGAUAACUACUGGAAACGGUAGCUAAUACCGCAUACCAUCAUAUGAGCCCAGAUGGGAUUAGGUAGUUGGUGAGGUAAAGGAUCACCAAGCCGACGAUCCCUAGCUGGUCUGAGAGGUUGACCGGCCACACGGGGACUGAGACACGGCCCAGACUCCUACGGGAGGCAGCAGUGGGGAAUAUUGCGCAAUGGGGGCAACCCUGACGCAGCCAGGCCGCGUGAAGGAAGAAGGCCUUCGGGUUGUAAAGUUCUUUCGGUAGCGAGGCGUUAACUACAGAAGAAGCACCGGCUAACUCCGUGCCAGCAGCCGCGGUAAUUC
rnacentral:rRNA from 1 species